rnacentral:lncRNA from 1 species
GAAACUUUUAGCAUGAAUUUGAACAAUCUGUUAUCUCCUACACAGAAAAAAUAUUAUGGGGAACUGAGAAAGGGAGACAAUCCAGAGGAUGCAAGAUAAAUGGCUACAAUAAUCUUGUAACUCAAGUCAGGAAAAUAUCUUACACCUGGGAACUCUGACAGCAUGUUUUUCUCCUAUGCAAAUACAGUUAAGGUUUCUAAAAAAUCUUUGAGGUUGACAGCAUGAUGUAUUAUUAGAAAUUUGAUUAGGAGGGAGCUAUCCUCACUCAGAGAUAGAAGGUUUCUGUGUAUCAAUCAGUUGGCAGGGUGUCUAUUUGCCAUUUGAAAAUAUUAUGAUCUGU